rnacentral:rRNA from 1 species
GUCCCUCCCGACUGUUUACCAAAAACACAGCACGGUUUGCCACUCGUAAGAGGAAGUAUAAGGUGUGACGCCUGCCCGGUGCUCGAAGGUUAAGAGGAUGCGUCAGUCGCAAGAUGAAGCGUUGAAUUGAAGCCCGAGUAAACGGCGGCCGUAACUAUAACGGUCCUAAGGUAGCGAAAUUCCUUGUCGGUUAAAUACCGACCUGCAUGAAUGGCGUAACGAGAUGGGAGCUGUCUCAACCAGAGAUUCAGUGAAAUUGUAGUGGAGGUGAAAAUUCCUCCUACCCGCGGCAAGACGGAAAGACCCCGUGGACCUUUACUACAACUUAGCACUGCUAAUGGGAAUAUCAUGCGCAGGAUCGGUGGGAGGCUUUGAAGUAAGGGCUUUGGCUCUUAUGGAGCCAUCCUUGAGAUACCACCCUUGAUGUUUCUGUUAGCUAACUGGCCUGUGUUA